GAUGAACGCUAGCGAUAGGCUUAACACAUGCCAGUCGAGGGGCAGCAUGGUCUUAGCUUGCUAAGACUGAUGGCGACCGGCGCACGGGUGCGUAACGCGUAUGCAACUUGCCUCACAGAGGGGGAUAACCCGUCGAAAGACGGACUAAUACCGCGUACACUCUAUUUUGGGCAUCCAAGGUAGAGGAAAUGAAAUUCGCUGUGAGAUAGGCAUGCGUCCCAUUAGCUAGUUGGUGAGGUAACGGCUCACCAAGGCGACGAUGGGUAGGGGAACUGAGAGGUGGAACCCCCACACUGGUACUGAGACACGGACCAGACUCCUACGGGAGGCAGCAGUGAGGAAUAUUGGUCAAUGGGCGAGAGCCUGAACCAGCCAAGUCGCGUGAAGGAUGACUGUCUUAUGGAUUGUAAACUUCUUUUGUAGGGGAAUAAAGAGGGGCACGUGUGCCCCAGUGAAUGUACCCUACGAAUAAGCAUCGGCUAACUCCGUG
rnacentral:rRNA from 1 species